CUACGCACUCCUACGGGAGGCAGCAGUGGGGAAUAUUGCACAAUGGGCGCAAGCCUGAUGCAGCCAUGCCGCGUGUGUGAAGAAGGCCUUCGGGUUGUAAAGCACUUUCAGUUGUGAGGAAGGUGGUGUCGUUAAUAGCGGCAUCAUUUGACGUUAGCAACAGAAGAAGCACCGGCUAACUCCGUGCCAGCAGCCGCGGUAAUACGGAGGGUGCGAGCGUUAAUCGGAAUUACUGGGCGUAAAGCGCAUGCAGGUGGUUUGUUAAGUCAGAUGUGAAAGCCCGGGGCUCAACCUCGGAACUGCAUUUGAAACUGGCAGACUAGAGUACUGUAGAGGGGGUAGAAUUUCAGGUGUAGCGGUGAAAUGCGUAGAGAUCUGAAGGAAUACCGGUGGCGAAGGCGGCCCCCUGGACAGAUACUGACACUCAGAUGCGAAAGCGUGGGGAGCAAACAGGAUUAGAUACCCUGGUAG
rnacentral:rRNA from 1 species